rnacentral:rRNA from 1 species
AUUGAACGCUGGCGGCAGGCCUAACACAUGCAAGUCGAGCGGUAACAGGAAGAAGCUUGCUUCUUUGCUGACGAGUGGCGGACGGGUGAGUAAUGUCUGGGAAACUGCCUGAUGUAGGGGGAUAACUACUGGAAACGGUAGCUAAUACCGCAUAACGUCGCAAGACCAAAGAGGGGGACCUUCGGGCCUCUUGCCCUCGUAUGUGCCCAGAUGGGAUUAGCUAGUUGGUGGGGUAACGGCUCACCUAGGCGACGAUCCCUAGCUGGUCUGAGAGGAUGACCAGCCACACUGGAACUGAGACACGGUCCAGACUCCUACGGGAGGCAGCAGUGGGGAAUAUUGGACAAUGGGCGCAAGCCUGAUGCAGCCAUGCCGCGUGUAUGAAGAAGGCCUUCGGGUUGUAAAGUACUUUUGGCGGGGAGGAAGAGAGUAAAGUUAAUACCUUGGCUCAUUGACGUUACCCGCAGAAGAAGCACCGGCUAACUCCGUG